GAUGAACGCUGGCGGCGUGCUUAACACAUGCAAGUCGAACGGAAAGGCUCCUGCUUGCAGGGGUACUCGAGUGGCGAACGGGUGAGUAACACGUGGGUGAUCUGCCCUGCACUUCGGGAUAAGCCUGGGAAACUGGGUCUAAUACCGGAUAGGACGAUGGUUUGGAUGCCAUUGUGGAAAGUUUUUCGGUGUGGGAUGAGCUCGCGGCCUAUCAGCUUGUUGGUGGGGUAAUGGCCUACCAAGGCGUCGACGGGUAGCCGGCCUGAGAGGGUGUACGGCCACAUUGGGACUGAGAUCGGCCCAGACUCCUACGGGAGGCAGCAGUGGGGAAUAUUGCACAAUGGGCGCAAGCCUGAUGCAGCGACGCCGCGUGGGGGAUGACGGCCUUCGGGUUGUAAACUCCUUUCGCUAGGGACGAAGCGCAAGUGACGGUACCUGGAGAAGAAGCACCGGCUAACUACGUG
rnacentral:rRNA from 1 species